UCCUCGAUAGCUCAGUUGGUAGAGCAAUCGGCUGUUAACCGAUCGGUCGUAGGUUCGAGUCCUACUC
rnacentral:tRNA from 1 species